GGAGGGUUUUAUUAUGCCAUGUACGGGAUAUUUGCCAUAUAGAGCUGUGUUACUUACAACUUACAAUCAUAUACCGCUUUAUAUGAUUUGUUUCCCCCCCCCCCUUCUUGUGUAUCGUUGAUUUAUAAUGCCAAGAGGAAGGAUAGCUGGCGUAUCCCCUCAAGAGAUAUUGACGCGGACAAGGCUUCAUGUCUAGACUGUUGUUUCUUUUACCUCUACCACCCGGGGAGGUAUCUGCCAAUAUAGUCUCAAAGCUACCAAACUAUACCGUUGAGUACCUGUUUUUUGACAUGUGGACUCCCUAAGUAGGGACGAUUUAGAGCUACCCCAUGUAUAGGCGUGUAUAUGCACCCGUCUUCUCUAUACUAUUGGUAAAAUGCUGCGCUAUGUUGGGUGCACUCCAGGCUUUUAAUAGCAGGGACUGUCCCCUCCUUGUGGCCAGCUAAUACCUUGUCAUCAAGCACACUACUCGGCUUAUGUUGAGGUGCGCUAGGAUGCGAAGAGUUGACACGGGUUGCUAGGCAACGCGCCUGGGGUAUACGCUCGCAGCAGCUCGACUCGCGGACUAACUUCCGGUUCACCUCUGUGAGAAAAACUAAGGGUCGCGCUGACUGCAGUUAUUACCGGCACGGCUGAGACUGGCACAAGUUACUAUCAGGGAAUACAGGAGAAGAAAGCCAUUUAUAUGUACUGGGGAUGACUUUGACGUAGUUGGCCAGCUGAAAUAUAUUGCAAUAUAUGGACAAUCCCUGUUUUGUUUAAAGGUCUUAUCUUCUUGUCCUGGUACAAAGUCCGGGUUAUCGCAUGGGCAUUAAGACCGAGGGAUAGCAAUUAACACAUUUAUGCGACUCCCAGCAGAUAUGUGGAGAGUUCAUUGUGAAGUGCCAUAAUUACCUUCUGCAGCAUCCCUUUAAUCUCGGACUUCAUCAGAAGAUAUUCCAGGUACAAAGCCUGCUUGAUGUUCAGGUAUUAAAUCUGAUUACUGCAGAGAGCAGUUUCCCAUAUUGUGGCCGGUUUUGCAUCUGAUUCUGCAUUUUCUUUUACAAUUUGAAAAAUCAUAUCUCUGAUCUUAUAUUUUUUCUCUUGUUUAUGAAGUAAUAAAUUGUUAAAUCUCCAUGUGUAUUCUCUUUUUUUGGGGUAGAUCUAUCAUAAGUGGGGAAGUGAUCUGAAAACAGUCCCAUACCUAUGUUUGCUUUUGUGACCAAGUGUAACCAUGCUUAUGAAAUAAAUAUAUGAACUAUCCUGAAAUAAACUUGGUGAGUUUUCGAAAAAAAAAAAAAAAACUGUAUAAUCUUUCUCCUUAGGAUAUAAAAUUCUCCAUGUCCACCAAGUGUAACUCUGGUAGUUUUUGUUUUAUCCUUUUUAAGCCCUUAUAGGAGAUAUGACUUAUGUUGUUGGAGGAAUACAUCAUUGGAUUCAAUAUCAAAUUAAGAUCUCCUCCCAAUAUAACUAAACCCUCCAUAAAAGUUCUCAGUUCGUCCAAAAACUUUGUUAAAUAUUUCACUUGAGCUUGAUUGGGUGCAUAAACAUUGGCUAUGUUCACUUUCAGUGCCCCUAACUUUCCCUUUAUUAUAUAUAUCUACCUUUCUUAUCCUUUUUGUUAUUGUGUACUUCCAAGGGUACAUCUUUAUCAUUACUCCUGUUGCUUUCUACUAAGUGUUAUUACUAUAGUAUAUCGGUGAAUAUUAUUUUGUCAACAAGCUUUGGAGUAUGACCUUCUUUAAAAUGUUUCUUGCAUCAAUACUAUGUAAGCUUGCAACUUUUUACAGGUCUGUAGAAUUUUACUCGUUUUAAAAAGCUAAUUGUCUCAAAAUAUCUUCUUUAAAAUUAAAGGGAAGAAGAAAAAAUAAAA